rnacentral:misc_RNA from 1 species
CGCUAUAGCCGUGCAACACGCGCGCCGCUAUACACUCGUCGUCGUGUUCUCGUCCCGUGCAAACAUUCGUCCUUCCGCAUGAAAUAGGAUUGUUUAGAGUGUAAAAAUCAAAAUCAUUGUUACUCGAAAUCCAAAUCUAUUGGUUGAUGGUCACGGUGUUAUAUAACAACCACUUACCAAUUUUGAUUUUGUUACGGUAAGGGACGAGAUAAUAUUAAAACAUUAAUAACAAACNUAAUAUAACAAUUUUCGCGAUUCCGGAAUGUUUGUUACGUANCCAUAAUUUUUGUGUCCAGUGCGUGAAAUCGUAUAUGGCCUACGGGGCCACGUAGACCGNGGCUGCAGCCCGUCUGUGGCGUCAGUGAUGGUCGUGGUGGCCACGUAAAGGUUACAUACAAUUUUAUUGUGAAUGGUUUGAAUGCCACAAUGCUUCAGAGAUCUCCAUCAUCAAGGAAGAGGCGUGCUGCCAACAAUGACUCUCGUCGAANCAGUGUGGCGUUUAAUUUGGAAAAUCAGUCAACAAGACUUCCGGAAGGAGGAAGGCAACAGACGCAGCAGUCACCGCAACAUAGGAGAGCUAGUAUAGCAGCUACGUCACCUUCUGAUGGCUUCGAAAUGCGACAAAGGACUAGAGUAUCGCCGGAAGAGGAGUUUUUCGAAUAUACGCACAAACGAAGUCCCCGACCGAGUUUUGUGUCAGAAACUAAAGUACUGCAGUACAUUGAUAAAAGUCCUAGAAAUAGUUUGGUUCCGGAUAAUAUGUCAAGGAGUCCACGAACGAGUUUGGUACCGUCAGAUCAUCGAAAACCUCCUCGAUUAUUACCUGACGAACAACAAGACUCAUAUGCACGGUCUAGUCCUUCAAGGCUUGAGGUCGAUGUCAAUCGGAGUCCUAGGCAUAGUCUUACAUGUGAGCAUCCAGAUCCGAGAAGCCCUAGAAGUCCAAGAGGUAGUAUGGUUCCAGAAGAUGAUUAUUCGGAAUUACGGUCAGGGCUGCGAUUGGACGUGGAGAGUUUUAACAGAAGCUCAAGAUCAAGUACUGCUGGCUUAGAUCCAUCUAGAAGUCCAAAAAAUAGUUUAGUACCGGACCCUAGUCGAUCACCUAGAGGAAGUAUUGCUUAUGAUUUAAAUCGAAGUCCCCGAGGUAGUUUGGCAGUAACACCUGAUGCCAACCGGAGUCCUAGAGGUAGCUUGAUACCAGACCCUGGGAAAAGUCCAAGAGGGAGUGUAGUAUCAGAAGGUGCGUAUAACAUGAGUCGGUCAGCAAGAAGCAGCAUACCCAUGGCCGAAUCAGCUUCUUUGGGAAGAACGCCAAGAGGAAGCAUAGGCUCAGUGUCUUGUGUCCAUUUUGAUCCGCAGUUAAAAUCAACUAGGAAUUCAAUUGAACCGGGAAAUGGAUCUCCAAAAGGAACACUUAAAGACACUCAAAAAAGUUCGUCACCGUAUAAGAACUCACAAUAUACACAAAAACAGAUUUUUCCCGACGAAUCAAGAAGAGCUAGUAGUAGCGUUAGUCAAGUUUCCGGUGACGAAAGGAAACGAUUGUGUGAGCAUGUUAAGCCUUGCGACAGUGGCCUAACUGCCUAUGGUUCGUUGACAUAUCAAUUGAACCAUGCCAAUAUGGAGUCGACAGGCAUAUUCGAUUUUAUCAUAAAAGCACUGAGUAUUAUUCAUAGAACAGUAAUAAUGACGGUUAUCUUGUCCAUUUUCACGGUGGUGCCAUUAAUUAUGUUCGUCGUUGGCGUGGAAUUUGUGCGGGACUGUCCACGGGAACCGCACAUACCGGUGUACAUGAUCGUGGGCGGCAUAUUCGGCAUGAUCAAAAUGGUGUGGUUGCUGUGCCGGCAGGUCAAGUCGCUGCGGUACAACAAGCGCAGUCGACCGGACAUGAGUACGCGGGAGGACAUGGUGUCGUCCAUGGGGUCGCGCAUAGCGUCCGUCGGGCUGGCCGCGUUCCUGGCCGGUUGGUUCGCGCUGGGCAACUACUGGAUACUGUCCGUGUACUGGCCCGACUCGGAGCCGUCGUCGCUGUACGAACCGAACGUGUGGUGCAACCGGACGCUGUACGUCACCAGCCUCGUGCAUCUGGCGCUCGUGUACGCGGCCGGCGCCGUAGUGCUCGCCGCCGUCGUGGCCGUACUGGUGUUCCAGCAGUGCGCGCUCCGGUUCAAAUAGCAUACGGCCACCACGGCGCUGUGUGGUUGUGCCCACGGCCACCAUGGCAGCCGCCGCAUGACUAUCACCAGCAUACUGCCGUACAGCGCCAUACACAUCAGCGUCACACAACCCGUCGACGGCGGUGGAUGUGACGUGGCCUUGUAGACGUGUUGACCGCCACGAUGAGCCACCCUUACCCCGACCAUUCUUCAGCCCCAAUUCCCUCCCCCAACGUCUAUCCCCAGCGCAAAGACCCAAUGCAAUGCCUCGGACGACGGUCGUCUACAAAGGCGGUUGUGACUUGUUGCAGUCGAACACAUGUGCAUCUAGCUGACCGUGGCCACAAUGUUAGACCAAAUCCAACCAAAUCUAACAAUGAAUUCUAAUAAUAUACAUCUAUAGUCAUUAUUAACGAGUGACAAGUAACCACAUUGUAUUGAUAAUCGAUAUUUAUUAAUUACGGUUAUAUGUAUAUAGAUAAUAGAUGUAUUAUAAAAUUAUUUUAAAAGUAUAUUAUUUCGCCUUAAAUACCUACAGUGUAAAACGCAGAACUCUCGUUUACGGCUGGGGUGGUGAUGAUCUUCCAUCAUGAUCAUAUCAUAAUUUGCAGCGUUAUGGUAAAGUUAUAAGGAACACCAACUCUUAAUCGAAUAGAUCAUGGAUAAGAUAUCUAAAAAAUAUUAUNAUAACAUACCUACUACGUUGUGCGUAUAAUAUAGCGUUUGCCUAUAAGUGGUAAAAUCACUCUUAUCAGUGUCAUUUGUAUUCAACAUAUUACGAUCGUUGCGUUACGCAAGGUUAUUUCGUUCGCAUUCAUAUUGUUAGUUACCUNCCUAAGUACAGCAUUUGUUUCAUGUGCACUAUAGUUCCCAUAUGCCGUCGAAUUGUUUCGAUCAUUGUCAAAUUUUACCGUUAUGUUAUACCACAGAUACGAAACCACGUAGACGCAUAGGAAUAAUAAUUUAUAACUUAUCAUUUAUAAUUUAUGAGCGCAUUAUAGAAUAUUUAUAGCGUAUGUCUCACCGUGGUUGUUCCCGUAGAUAACAUCUCUUUUCCUAAUUUANAUUUUUGAAUUAUGAUUUUGAACUGUUAUUAUUGCAUUACUGAGUUACAGCUAUCAUAAUUUCUUAUAUUUGUACUGUAUUUUUAAACUUUAGAAACCGUGUUUCGUAAAAGUUGACUGUAAAUAUUUUAAAAGUAGAAUUACUAAUUUUCAUUCUUUAAACAUUUGAAAUAGUUAAGAGAGUUUNAAAGUUAAUACAUGCGGUGUGUAGAGGAGUAUAAUGUAUUGUUGUAUGGUGGGUAAUACAUAUAAGAUACAAAUAAAAACGGUGUGAUACCCUGUGAAACUUUAAGUGUAAUUUAACGAAUAUAAGUCACUAUAAACGUUUUACAUUCCUUCCCUCAGAACGAUUUUUUUUAAUCCAAAACCGUAUAAUAAUAUACCUAUCCCCGAUUCCCAGCCUGUUUCACAAUUCACGGGUGAACGCUCACCGAGAAAACUAACUUCUUAUUAUUCCUACAUCGAACGUUAGUGUACCUAUCAUUGUGUUUAAAUGCAUCAUGAGCUCAUAUAUACAUAUGAUAUUUUGUUAGCUGUUCUCCUUCGUUUUCGCUCUAUUAUUGUUAUUAUUAUUUUUGUCUUAGAAAUUCACUUUUUAAUNAUUGAAGUAGUUUCGUCUCUUAUGAAAUCUUUGUUCUCUGCUUCACUUAAAAGUUUGGUGCCCAAUACACGUUUAACGAAUUGAAACACUUAAAAUAUUUGAAUGCGUUUCGUAGAUCAACCGAC